UCCAUAUGGUUUCCUAGGGCUUGGGUAAUUAGGAGCAUUACCAAUUUAAAAUGUCACCCAGGCUCUGGAAUUUGCUGUCAGGCUGUCUACACUUUUAGAAAUACCAACUUUCCCUUCCCCUCAUCCUCCCUAGGAAAUAACAUCAUCUUCACAUGGCUCUGCUCCAUUCCAAGAACACCUAUGACUGCUGUUCAGGGAAUGAAGCUGGGGCUUCCAAAUCUGUGAGAAGAGAGAAUGCUUACACAGAUAACUCUGUUACACACUUUCCUACAUGGCACUUCAGGAAGCCUUGAAGCUACCUCCAAUCCUAUUUUCUGGUCCUCACAGAAAGAUUAUAUGGCUCCCUUGUGCAUAAUCUCGUGCAGCAGAGGCAGCUCACAGCUUGCCAGGUCCAUGCUCUCUCCAAGCCAGGACCAUGUUUCCUGCUCCUCUGCAUCUCCUCAUGGCCACCAGACCACUUCGGCCCAACCAAAUCUAUGCUCUUUGUCAGGAGUCUAACCUAUGUGGACUGUGUCAAUGGCUUCCUUGACAUUGGACUCCAGUUGGGAGCACUCAAAAGCAAAGACAACAGCAAGUCAGAGUGAAGACAGUCUCCUUGUUGCUUUUGGGGCAUGAAGCAAGCACUACAGCGCCUGCCCGGCACCCAUGCAUGUGUGCCACUGAAGUGCAAGGAAGUUUAUACCAUCUGGAGGUGAACUUUGACCAAAGCAAGAUGGUAGCCAAUGGACCAGUCAUUCUCCUUUCCUCACAUUGGAUGAACUACUUGGAGAUAAAGUUGUUUCACAUGGCCUUUUCGAAGACACAGAGCAACCAGUUUUUCAUAAAGCUCUGGCAAGCUCAGUAUAUGCUCUCUUACUCUCUCCUUCCUUCCUUCUUUCCUGGUCUCACUCCCCUUCCCCUUACUCAUGCUUUCCUGAGAUCACCCUCCCUAACCUCACCUAAGCCUCUGUCCCAUGAUUUGUGAUUCAGGAAACUGAGGCUAAGAAAAUCAUGGAAUUUAUAUGAAAUUCAACAUGUUUCUUGGCAUUCUUUUCUGUUAUUCUGUCUUUUCUGGGUUUCUGGUGCCUCUGACUUCUAAACCCAAGCCACCAUUGAAUCUGAAUGGCUGUCAAUAGCUCAGAUCUAGGAAAUGAAGUGAAAAGCAGAGCUUAAGGUCCAAGUUCCAUCAGAGCUCAAUUCCUGGUCCAGUGCUAAAAAAGACCAGGUUCAAGUACAGUACUUAAAACUGCUUAUCAAUUGAUUGUUUGAACCUAUGUGACUACUUCUUACUGAUUUUGUCUUGUUUGUCUACUUAUAUUUUUAUAUUCUUAUCCUGAAAAGUAGAUAUUGAAACAAAGUCACCUACUUUAGAAAUUAUUGUUGCAUAGAGUGUUUUAUCUAAUUCUUUAGCAAAGUCAGUAGCUGCUCCAAAUUGGUCUUUCAUGGCUGGCACUGCCUUAGAGGGAACACAAAGGCUUAGAAAUUCAACCCUAGGAACUUCCUAAGGUGGCUUGCAUCCAGUGGGUAGGCAAUCCACCAGGCCGAAAUUAAUAGUAAGAGAACCAAUAAAACCAUAGUAGUGAAAUAUUAAUCCUUCAAGCCCUCUCUUUCUUUCCUACUUC